CCGACGAGGUGGCCGGGCAGGCCGUGCGGCGCCAACGGCUGCGACGGUCGAGUCCGGCGGACGGCCAUCUCAGUUCAGCCUCAGCUCGCCGGA
rnacentral:tRNA from 1 species